AUCAUAAUAUACGAUACACGUGUUGCCGGCGUCCUUUCAUACUUUCUACAGAAUAAUUUCGUUAAAUAUAAUCGUUGAUUCGUUUAGUCGAGAAUAAAAACACCUCAAGACCUUCCUUAAUUUCUUCGCAUUUAAGCGAUUAUAAUAAUAAAUAGAUUGUGUCGUCUAAAAAGAAGUAAGUGCAAUUAACCCGAUUAACUUUGAUUCUGAGCACGUUUCAUGAUAAAAUCAUGUUAAAAGAAGGAAAAGAAAAACAGCAAAUAUCAUGAACCAGGGAUUAAAUAAGAUUAUGGAAGUUGCAAGUAGAAAUGAACAAACUCAAGAAAAUAUUACGAAUGCGACUUAAUAAUUCCAGAGCAUCUUGAGAGAUGUUUAUAUAUUAACGAUAUGGUCUACAGGUGCGUUUAAAUCUAUUGACAAUCAAAUGGAAUGAAUAUAACAGGACAUAAAAAUGGUGCACAAAAAGAUAAAUGAUGUGGUUGUGAUACAAUAUCCAUAUCCAUGCACAUUCGAUAGAAAAUAUUCACGAUAAAAAUAUUUACAUCCUUGGAUCCAAAAGCAAAGAUCGAUAUGACAUCCUACGCAUCUAUAGAUUCAACGGAACAUACAAUAAUAUGUGACCAUGAUACAAUAAUAUCUACAUCUUUGACGGAAGCUAUGGAAGUUGAAGAAUUUAUGAAUCUUAUAAUAUGUGAAGAAUAUAUGAAUUUACCAAAACUAGUGCCAAUAAUCUCUACGGAUGAAUUACAGUCCCGGAUUGUGUCCAAUUGUAAUAUUGUUGUAAACAAACAAACAUUAAGCUCUGCUCUUAAUCAUCCAGAAUCUCCGCCCUUAGAGGUGAAAGAAGAUGCGAUUCUCACGAGACGAAGAGUUGCGAAAAAAAAUAAUUCAAACAGUAGGGAUGAAAACGAAGAUGAGAAAAAAUCACUGGACUAUCAAAAUACAAAAAACAGAAUUUGUCUUUUCGUUCCAAGAUGCCUGCCAAAAGUAAAGAAGAUGCUUUAUAUGUGUAUCAUAUUGGUAUUUUUAUACUUGACAUUUAUAUUUCAAUAUACGGUUUCCUUCCAUAAGAAUCAUAAGGACAAUAAUACUUCUAUUAUUGGCGAGUGGAAAAAAGAAAUUCUCGAUUUGGAUGAAAUUGUACAAUUCUUGGCCGAGUAUCUUCAGCAAGAUUCACCUUUAUUAAAGGUAGUAGCACUCAUCGGUGGUACGAGCUCCGACAAAUCGUACACAGUGGACAUUAUAAGAAACACAUUACGCAGAAGAAGAAAGAGUAAUAAUUUCUCAUCUUUGUAUUCGGAUCUUAUUGUUCUGAAGAAUUUGAGAGACGAGCAUUCUAUAAAGUUUACGAAAUGUGUCAUAAACAUUGUAAAAAGAUAUCAAAAGGCAUAUGGCGAUCAACGGCUUACCAUACUUACAGUUUUUAAAGUCGAACAAAUGGAUGACGAGUCCACGCCUAGUACAGAUUUACAUCGAACUAUAAACACAGUAAAAGAUGCUUUCCUCGAAGCAAAUAUUAAUAUCAAAAUUAUUCCUUACGAACCUUUAAACGAAGAAACUUUAGAAAAAUAUAUUAUAAAUACGGCGGAAAAUAUCAGACUGAGACUUUCCCAAGACCAGAUUGAUGUUAUUAAAAGACAUUUAAUAGAGGAUACUGAUUGGAGGCUUUACAGUAAUGUUGAGUCUGAGUUAACAAUAUGCGAUUAAAUAAUAAUAUUUUUCCUCCAUAUGCACUCACAAUUAUGACAUAUGAGAGAUAGUUCCUAUUGGAACAAAAAUAUUUUCAAACUUUGUAAAUAUAUCAUAUCGCAAUUUCGUAUUGCUUAAUUAAAUAGUCAAUUAAUUAUUUCUUUAGUUUUUCAAUCUAAAAAAGAUAAUUUUUGUAAUUAAUAAACAAAGAUAGAAUUUUUUAUUACUCAGUGAAACUCAUCUUGCGUUUGAUUUGUAAUUUUUUUGGUUUAUUGAUAAAAAUACACGAUGAAAUUAUUUAUUUCUGAAUUGUACUAAAAACAAGCGAUGAUUUUUGUACAAAAUGUGUUGCUUAAAGUCUAACAAAAUGUGUAAUCAGCGCGCUGUUACAUUCUGUUAAACAAAUUUACAUUGAUUAGGAUUUACUACGUACGGAAUAUACUUGAAUUUCUCUAAGUUUUCUUUUGCAAACGCAUUUGAAUUUAUAAGCAAAUGAUCACGAUCGUUGUAUGUAUAAUUCAUCAUAAUGAUAUGAAGUGUUCGAGCAUUAAAUAUUACGUUGCGUUAAGUUGUCAUCAUUUUUGCAACUGAAAAGCCGCUUGCGAUUGUUUUGUUUUAUUUCUUUUUUAGUUAACGUAAACGUAAUUAAAAGUAAUUAAAAGAGGAUAAUAAAAUAAUAAUCAAUAAUAAAAAUAAUGUAGCUUAGAGAAUAAAUAAAAAGAGAAAAAAACAUUUGUAUAAGCUUUGCUUUUUUUUUAUAAAAAAAAAAAUUGAAAUGUAACUAGAACAGCUUAAGGUUUAAUAAUGGAUAUGUUAAACUUUACUUCUAAUUACAAAUAAUUCUUACAAUGUCAUUGUACAGGUGCUAAUAGAUAGGAAAAAAACUAUUUUCAGGUAUAUCUGUUUUUCGUUUUUGUUAAGCUUUUAACAUAGUGAGCAUUUGUAUAUGAAAAUUUGACCUAAUAUGUUGUCAAGCCGGUAGAAAAUUGUGAAAAAUAAUAAAAGAAGAAAAACAACAAGUAUCAUAUAUUUUCGUUAAAUUUGCUUCAUCAGUAUCGAGGACACUCGAUGUGCUUUUCGAUUAAUAUGAGGUAGCAGUUAUAUUCUGAUUAGAUUGUGUGCUGGUAUAAUUUUAAGCUCUUUAUUUCACCUUGUAUUGGCAAGACCGAAUCAAGAUUUUAACGACGUUGGUUUCGUACGUAUUUGCACCAACUGUAAUCGAGACGAGAGUAUACGAGAGCAUUUCAGAAAAUUGUUACAAUCUGAUAUUGUGGAGAAGCAGUCCGAAUCUUCAAAUCGACAAUUCCUUUAAGUUCAACGAGAAAUUAUUAUCUCUUUCUAUACCGAGACAUAAUAAAGACAUCCGUCGAACUUUACCAAGUCAGACAGAAAAUCAAGUAUUCACAGACGAUCAUCAAGCAUAAACGUAACUACAUGUAACUGUCUAUUGAAAAAAAAAGAAACAAUGAACUCACUGGAAUCAUCUACUAUGGAAUCAUCAUUUCUCACAGAAUCGAACACUGAAAUUACGCGACCGAGUACGUCGAAAUCAGGACUGCAACUAAAAUCUCAAUCCCCGCAAGAAUGCAUUCAGAAGAAAAGUGACAAUAAAUUAAAAAAUAAUGAGGAAUCGCGCUCUAGCAAAUCAUCUUCCGCAAAAUCUUUUUUCCCAGAACUAUCCAUCACGUCACCAAACACGUCAAAAUGUAUUUACAUACUAUGUGCAAAAUAUCAAUGCUUGUUAAAUUUGAAAAAAAUUUAUCGUAAAGAAAAAAAUCGAUUAAUAUCUAACGAUUCUCUUUUCGUACGAGACAUGUAUUUAAAAUUCAUUCACGACAUAGAAAUAUCAGAAAUGCAAACUAUGUCCGAAAUUAUAGAAAUACAUGAAAAUCUCGAAAAAAAUAUUGAACAAAAAGUUCGAAAAGUCAAUUCGGACCGUACGACCG